rnacentral:rRNA from 1 species
GACGAACGCUGGCGGCGUGCUUAACACAUGCAAGUCGAACGGAGCGAAUGAAAGCUUGCUUUUAUGGGCUUAGUGGCAAACGGGUGAGUAACACGUAGACAACCUGCCGACAGGAUGGGGACAACAUUCCGAAAGGAAUGCUAAUACCGAAUGAAGUCAGAGGAGGGCAUCCUCCUCUGAUGAAAGAUGGCCUCUUUUUAUGCUAUCACCUGUUGAUGGGUCUGCGUCUGAUUAGCUGGUUGGUGAGGUAACGGCUCACCAAGGCGACGAUCAGUAGCCGGUCUGAGAGGAUGAACGGCCACAUUGGGACUGAGACACGGCCCAGACUCCUACGGGAGGCAGCAGUGGGGAAUCUUCCGCAAUGGGCGCAAGCCUGACGGAGCAACGCCGCGUGAGUGAAGAAGGUCUUCGGAUCGUAAAGCUCUGUUGACGGGGACGAACGUGCGGAGUGCGAAUAG